rnacentral:rRNA from 1 species
GGAAUUUUGGACAAUGGGGGAAACCCUGAUCCAGCCAUCCCGCGUGUGCGAUGAAGGCCUUCGGGUUGUAAAGCACUUUUGGCAGGGAAGAAAAGGUUCUGGCUAAUACCCGGCACUGCUGACGGUACCUGCAGAAUAAGCACCGGCUAACUACGUGCCAGCCGCCGCGGUAAUACGUAGGGUGCAAGCGUUAAUCGGAAUUGCUGGGCGUAAAGCGUGCGCAGGCGGUUUGGCAAGAAGGAUGUGAAAUCCCGGGGCUUAACCUUGGAACUGCAUUCUUAACUGCCAGGCUAGAGUAUGUCAGAGGGGGGUAGAAUUCCGCGUGUAGCAGUGAAAUGCGUAGAGAUGCGGAGGAAUACCGAUGGCGAAGGCAGCCCCCUGGGAUAAUACUGACGCUCAUGCACGAAAGCGUGGGGAGCAAACAG